rnacentral:pre_miRNA from 1 species
AUGGUAUUCUACCACUGAAAUUAUUGUUCGAAAUAACACCUGCAAUUCAUGGAUGUAUACUGCCGUGGUAUGGUAUCCUACAGUGUAUCCCCAGUCUAACCUAGUUGCAGGGUUGCAACACAUGGCAUGGUGGGGGAUCUACUGGGCAAUAACCAAGUUGCAUGGGUGUAUUUAUCCAACAAUAAUUUCAGUGGAAGACUUCCAUCGAU